AACAGACUUAGAAGAAAUGAGGAAGACACAGAGCAGUCCUCAUCCUACAAUAGGUCUCCUGUUAUUUUGCCCACAUUGGGGUUUUAUUGAUCAGUGACCACAUUUCUUCUCAGGACUGUGGUACUGCCAGGAAACUUCCUGGUCCAGCUGCAGAGUGGUUAGUUGGCAUUUAAAACAAAACAGAACAAAACAGCCCCACUGUGCUGUUUAGAAAAGUUCAUGCCAUAUCGUGAAUUUAGCUCCACGGAUCAGAAGGCCUUCCCACAUAAGGGAAGCAAACAUGAAGCCCGCCUUGGGUGUGUCCACUGGUCACUUGUCUGCCUGAGAAAGAUUUAUACCAAAGAGUUUCAGAGUCAUAAGUUUAGCAGAUACAGGCACAGAAGGGUAUUUAGAAGUCAAAUGAGCCAUUCUUCUACCUAAGAGCUUUGCUUGAGAAUAAAGUCUCUGCUCCAUGCAGCUAUCGUCACUCCAAUUGGCCCCAGAGGAGGCGUCUUCUCGGAGGAAGAGAGGAAUCUAUCAACAGGAUCAAGAUGGGAGAAAAUUGAGUGCUUUUCAGGCCCCACAGCUAGAACAGUCCAAAGAGACAACAGCAAAAGCCAAGUCCAGUACACUUGUCCAACCUAGCUCUUCAAGGUCUCUGCUGGACUCAGGGUCUAGAUUUUUCCUGUGCCAAAGGACAGCUCCAACACCAGCUCUGGGUCACUUUUCCAGUUCCAAUUCCCCCAGAGAGCUUGUGAUGGCCGCCCUCUGACAUAUUCCAGAGGUAUACUUCAGAGGAGGGCCAUGUUCUUUUUGCUGCUAAUUAAUACAACAUUCGGAGUUCACCUUUGGCUGGGGCUUGAAUUCAACAGCAUGUAGGCAGCUAUGCAUGUAAGGCACAGCAUCAGUGUCUGGGUCGAGCGCAGAAACACAGUUUACCUUUAUCCAUAACCAGACUCCCUGAGCAGGGGUGUGCCUAAGGGUACACAUUCGCCUGAGCUUCUCCUUACAGUCCGCCUGCCCACAUACAUCCUCGCUCCAUUUGUGCUGCCAUUUUCCUCAGUCAAUUAUUUAAAAGAAAAGAACUUAAGGAUAUUUUCAUGGGAAAAACAAAUCCUUAGGCUGUUGAGAGCCACAGCCAAAGGGGCCCCAGCAAACUUCCAGCUGCCAGCAAACUUCCAGCUGCUGGCUGAUGAUUGGCUCACAGCGGCCCCAGCAACAUCUAGCUGAUUGGCUCCUCUGCGGUGAUGCUCACUGGGCUGUUUCCCUGCCCUUUCAGACCACGGAGCUGCUCAUUGGGGGACUUUUUUGGCUCCGCCCACGUGACCCAGCCAACCGGCCUCAAGAGCAGGAGGAUUGUGGGGGAGAGAGAGAAGCUUGUGUGGGAGAGAGAGGCUUGGGGAAAGCCGGUGGUGGCAGUUGAGGCUCUGAGGGUUUUUCCUGAGAGACUAUUUUGUUUGUCGUGUGUGGUUCUAAAAAUAAAGUUAGUUUCUUUUGACAAGUGGCUCCUGAUUGUGCCCAGCCAGACUGCGGCAUUAGGCAAGCCUAAGUAACCGGCAACUAUCAAAAUGAAACUCAAGUCUGGAACUCUUGGUACCCUAACUAUAGAUCACAUAGGAGCAGAUAAAAAUCUUUGAAGAAAUUACUCACAAAAGUUACAGAACACUUAAAGCCCAUACAUCAAAAAGGCCCUCUUAGGAGUUAUCCACACAGCAAGUUAGGCCGGUGGGUUAUAUAAGGACACUAUGGCUAUUAGAACCGCCUGCCAAGCCCCAGGUAUGAUACCCAGCACUAUGAAUCAAAACCCUGCAUUUUAGAUUCUUAGGGUAGUAUCAGAUCCCAAACAGACAUGCAUGAAGGGAGAAGGUAUACAUUUGAUGUCAAUUUGAUAUUGUAAUUACAAAUAAGACUCAUCAAAUAAAUGGUGGAGGAGCUCAGAAAGACCAACCCUAUUCAUGUUAAGAACCAUUUGGAACACCAUGUACAACCAGAGAAUUGAAAUGUUGAGCUUCAUUUGUGUAUGAUGAGUUGAAAUGCAUUCUGCUGUCAUGUACAAGUAAGUAGAAUGAAUAAUGAUAAUAAUAAUAAUAAUAAUAAUAAUAAUAAUAAUGCAACUCAGGAUCAGCCAGCUAGAAGAGAUGCAUAGGGCAAGGUUCUGUGAGAAGCGACACAGAGCUUCUUCUAUGGCCUCCUCAGGUGAGAGAAAAAAAAAAAAAGAACCAUUUGGAAUUCAUAAUAAGAGUACCUACGAAAAGAUCAUGAGAGGAUUGGGGUUCCGCCUAGAACACAGAGAUUGUGCUUCAAACAUGUGGAUCAAUCAUUUUGUUUUCCUUCGUUGCCAUUUCUUCUGCGUGGAUAAGUGAAAGUGGAUGAUCUAGAGAACCUUGCCAAGAUUCCCCAGGGAGUCAUUUUAGACCCUGGGCUCGCUGCCCUUCUUCAGUGCUCCACGUGUCUCCAUGUUGUUUCAGCUCUGUUAUUUUCAGCAUCAGCCUUUUCAAGGCAUCAGCAUCAAUUAACUCACUCUGAAAUUCAAAGGUCAUUGAAGAGAUGGGAUUGGAUUUGUUCUGUGAUAACAGACUUUUUUUUUUAACUUUGCGAACUGUCCCUACAUAGUAUAACUACAGAGAACUGUCCCAGGCAUUAUUUUAAAAAUUUAGGAUAUUCUACCAAGAGAUUCUUGAGAAUAGAAUUCUGCUAUUUAAUUCAUUCUAAUCACCAAACGUUUUUGCAACUCUACCUCCAUGCCUGACUCCUUCUCUGUAUUUCCAUUAGAAAUAGGGUCCAACGCGUCCUUGUUUGUGGCCAUUUUCACUCUCCAGGAGAACUCCCCUCUGGAAAACUCCGUCUUCAC
rnacentral:lncRNA from 1 species